rnacentral:rRNA from 1 species
UACGUAGGGGGCUAGCGUUGUCCGGAAUCAUUGGGCGUAAAGCGCGUGUAGGCGGUCCGGUAAGUCCGCUGUGAAAGUCGGGGGCUCAACCCUCGGAUGCCGGUGGAUACUGUCGGGCUUGAGUACGGAAGAGGCGAGUGGAAUUCCUGGUGUAGCGGUGAAAUGCGCAGAUAUCAGGAGGAACACCAAUUGCGAAGGCAGCUCGCUGGGACGUUACUGACGCUGAGACGCGAAAGCCAGGGAGCAAACGGG